rnacentral:rRNA from 1 species
CGCAUGUUUUUCAAAAACAUUUCCUUUUGAUGUUAGUAAAAGGUAGUCCCUGCCCAGUGCAACUAGAGUAAUGUUUGUUGUAAACGGCGGCGUUAACGUGAGCGUCCUAAGGUAGCGCGAUAAUUUGCUUUUCAAUUGAAGGAUGGUAUGAAAGGGUUAACGAAGAAGGUGCUGUGUCUAAAAAUUUAAUUUAAACUAACUUUAAGGUGAAGAGGCCUUUAUGUAAAAGAAGGACGACAAGACCCUAUGAAGCUUUAUCUUAAUUGGAGCUUUCAGGCUCUUAUACGAUUUUGAUGGGAGAUCAGUAGAAAUAAGUCUUCUACUAUUAUAUUAAUCUUACUAGUAUUUCCUAACUUUAUAUGUGUGGCUAGCUACUCUAGGGAUAACAGCGCAAUUUCUCCCGAAAGAUGGUAUUGGAGGGGAAGAUUGUGACCUCGAUGUUGGCUUUAGAUACCCUAGAGGCGUAGAAGCUUCUGAUGGUGGGUCUGUUCGCCCUUUAAAAUCUA